UGGAAACAUCAUUAACUUGCAUUUUGUAUGUAACAGGUCAGAGUCUUAAAGUCAGAGGCAAAAUCUGAAUUGCUUAAUGAAAUGGAGUUUUUUUGAUUCACAGGUUCUUAAAAUAAUUGAAAGCAGGCUAAUUAUGAGGUUCCAAUUCAAGGUCCUGGCAGUCAGCCUUCCUGGGUACUGUGACUACUUCAGUUUAUAUCAAGCAGUUCUGAGCAGUAAUGAGUCUACGAUGAAACAUAGGACACCUAAUGAGACCGGGUACGGAAAGGACAAAGGUCUCUAUAAGGAGCAAUAUUUAACUUGUAAUAUGAAAGCCGAUCAAUCACAUUUCAGAUAUUGGAUGUUAAAAGACAUUCUAGCGAUGAAGACAAUGGUGAAGUUGAAUUGAGACCUUUCCAAAGUCCAGGGAGGUCUACAACAAUGAGGGGUUCCCAUCUUCCCAAAAGAAGAAAUACAAGUAUGUUCAAGUAAUGAGUUAGCAAAAUUGCCAAGUAGAAUAUUGAAUAAAAAAGGAAGAAUACCUGCCAUGAGAUGUUGAGAGAAAAUAAAAGGAUAGAACAUCAAACAAAACUUCAGAUAUAACUACCCACAAAUGUGGAACCCACAGUUAUAUCCACCAAGAAAUCUUAAGCAGAGGAUUUAGUCUAAAGUGGUUCUGGGGACUUCCCUGAUGGUCCAGUGGCUAAGACUCCACGCUCCCAAUGCAGGUGGCCGAGGUUCAAUCCCUGGUCAGGGAACUAGACACCGCAGGGUGCAACUAAGGGUUCGCAUGCUGCAGCUAAAGAUCCCGCGUGCUGCAACUAAGACCUGGCAGAGCCAAAUGAAUAUUUUAAAAAAUAAAGUGGUUCUGGACUGGUUGUUUAGAAAAUAUAGGCUUAAAGGAUAUGAACAUUCAAAUUGACUUUCAACUUGGAGGAUUGUGUAUAAUCCUCCCAAUGGCUCCGCUACUCCAGUUUGUUCUACCUUCAUGGAAUCACACAGAGACAGCCUAUCUUGGAAGCCAAAGUUGGGUAACAUCUUGACUAUACCCACCAUUCUCAGCUCUUUCCUGUACUAUCAUUACUUGAAUGGGACUAUCACCUUGGCUGCAUCCAGAGUCCUUCUCUCCUCAACCAUCCAGUUAUCUCCCAAAUGAGUUGAAUGGAUAUUCUGCCUGAACGUCCAGUUUUAACAGGUCACUAGAUAGCUAAGUGCAUUGAGUAGGACACUCCUGGGAAAUCCUGGGACCUCAGACCACCAGGGGUCAUUUAAGUCCAUUAUUUGAUGAAUCAAUAUCCACACAAUUUAUGUAAUCAAGGCCAUAAAGAUGAGGAGAAAAGAACUUGCUGUGUAAGGCAGCCAUAACAUCAGGGCCAGCCCUGUCCACUCUGCCUAAAAUAAAACAUGUUAAUAUCUAUUAUUAAAAGUGAUGAAGGGGAUUUCCCUGGUAGUACAGUGGUUAAGGA